GACGAACGCUGGCGGCGUGCCUAAUACAUGCAAGUAGAACGCAGUUGCGAACGGGUGAGUAAAGCGUAGGUAACUACCUAUUAGAGGGGGAUAACCAUUGGAAACGAUAGCAAAUACCGCCUACUAGUAGAUUGACCUGCGUUGUAUUAACUAGUAGGUAGGGUAAUGGCCUACCUAGGCAAAGAUACAUUGCCGACCUGGGAGGGUGGUCCGCCAAACUUGGACUGGGGCACGGCCCAGACUCCUUCGGGAGGCAGCAGUAGGGGAUCUUCGGAAAUGGGGGGAAACCUGACCGAGCAAAUGCGCGUGAGUUAAGAAGGGUUUCGGAUCGUAAAGCUCUGUUGUUAAGGAAGCGGUACUUAACCAGAAAGGGACGGCUAACUACGUGCCAGCCGCCGCGGUAAUUC
rnacentral:rRNA from 1 species